CUGCUCACUCUGGUAGCAAAUAUACUAAAAUUGGAAUGAUAUGGAUAUUAGCAUGGCCACUGUGCAAGGAUGACAGGAAAAUUCACAAAGCAUUCAUGUAUUUU
ensembl:snRNA U6 U6 spliceosomal RNA